UAUACACACAUGCAUAUAUAUAGACGUGUGUGUGUGUGUGUAUGUAUAUAUCUGAAAUCUAGCCUCUCGCAAAAUAAUUCACUUUAAGGGACAAGAGUAAUUUUGUGAUUGAAAAUUAUUUCAUUGUAGGAAUCAGCAGCAAAAUCAGUUAAAAUGUAGACUUGGGGUAAUUGUGUAGCAUGUCAGUCUAUGUCUGAAUAAUCUGCUAUUUUCUUGAUACUUUUCUUCAACUGCAAUAAGCACUGAUAUUUAUAUGAUGUUAAAAUACCUGUAUUUAAACCAGAACAUUAAAUGCCAUCCCAAUUCAGCAUUUCUCUAGUUGAGGAAGAGGAAGUUGAAGGAAGAGGAGGCUGAGUUUUCAUUAGAUGAUAUUUGUGGUCUUUUUUAUGAUCAUUGUGCUUAAUCACAUUAUUACUACAUUGUUACUAAAUUUUUAUCUUCUAUAAAACUUUGAGAUCAUGAAACAGCCAGGAAGGAUGCAGGGAUUGCUAUAUCUUCAUCAGCAAAUGGGAGGAAUGGCACUGGAAAAUGCAAGAGUUUAUCAUAAAUCACAAAUAUAGGUUUCUGAGAUAAAAAGAGAGAACAGAAUUCCUGAUCCCAAGCAUGAAAUCGCUCUCUUUUACUGUAACACAUGUUCAAAGCGAUCUAGUCUAGUGGCCUUUUCUCCAUGCCUCACAAGAAUCAGGCAUUGGAGAAAUUACGUUGUUCUUCAACCCCCUUAUGUUUCACAGGUAACACUCUGAAACCCACAGAAUGUAUGUGACUUGCCCAAGAUCAUGUGUUAGUAAGAGAGAAUGAACUAGGACCUAGGUCUCCUUCCUACCUCCUCAACAUGGCCCUUUCUCAGACACUACACUGCUCAGUUCCACAUUCCAUCAUAGAGCAACUGGACUGGACUGGCCCAUUUACUCAGCAAAAAUGUACUGAGAACACACCUAACAUGCUAAGUCCUGGAUAUAAGACAAAAAAUGUAAGAUUCCAUCCUCCCCCUUCCCAAAGGAAGAAAAAACCCAACAAAAUAGUCAAAAUAAACAGGUAAAUAGGUGAGGACAAGACUUAGCACAGGCUUUAAGAUUGGACAGACCUGGACACAUAGCCUGACUCUAUGCUUUACUAACGGUGUGACCUUGAGCUUCUGUGUUCUCUUGUAUAAAAUUGUGAAAAUUUUUCAGAGGUGGUUUGUGAGGAUUAAAUGUGAUAGUAUUUAUUUUCUUAAAAUAGCAUAGUAUCUGGAUAUACUAUUACUAUACUGCUAUUACUCUAGUAAGGGGCUCAGCAAUGGUGGUAAUUACCACUACUACUGGUUGACAUGAGGCUGACAGAGGGAGGAGUACUUGUGGUCCCUUUUCUUCAUUCUCCCAUCAGAUAGCCUAAGUCCUCAUCUUCCUGCCAUCUGUACCACACAAAUGGGGAGAGUUAUUGGUAAGUUACAAGGGGCCCCGAAAUGCCUCACUUAAUGGGUUCUGCCUGCAGCAGGACUUAGUAUAAUCUCUUUCUCUGUCAAUUUCUCAGGCUGACUUUCUCAGUAAACCACCACUAUUUAAUUCUUCAGAGUCAAUGAGUCAUCCACCAGUCCAAACUUGUGCACAUUCCUGCAAGAUAUAAUUUGGAACCUUUGCCUAGGGGAAGUGCACUGCUCCUGUGCCCCACUCAUCUUCUUUUCUGAACCUCCAAGAGAUGACAACUACAACUUUGAGAAUCUACUGUGACAGCAAUGCCAUGCAGAUGAUAUUUUCAGCUGAAUUGGACACUCAGAGCAAUGCCCAAGGAGCUGGUUAAGUAAGAAAGCCCAUGUGAAGAGGCUAGAAGCCCAUGGCAAGGAACUACCACCUCUAGCCAACAGCUGACGAGGACCUGAGGCAUGUCAACAGGCACGUGAGGGAACUUGGAAGCAGAGCCUCAGUCAAUUUCGCCUUGAGCUGACUGGAAGCCCGGCCAACCCCUCAGCCACAGUUUUGUGGGAGAUUCUGACCCAAAAUAAUGCAGCUAAGCCACUCCUGGGAUCUGUGACCCACAGAAACUAUGAGAUAAGAAAUGUCUGUUGUUUUACAAUACUAAUUGUGGGGAUGAUUUGUUAUGCAGCAAGAGAUAACUCAUACAAUUGGGGGAAUGUUUCCUCAUCAUUGAUUUAAUGGCUAAAAGUAAUGUGACUGUGUCUAAUUAAAAAACAAAAAGAUACCUUUCCUAUCUGACCAUUAAAAAAAGAUUAGAAACAGAUUUUUCUUUCUUUCUUUCUUUUCUUUUCUUUCUUUUUUUUUUUUUUUUGCCUCCCUUCCUAGUUCAUUAUGAACAAACUAUCAACAAAAACCAUCCUGCUCAGCCAGUUUCUCAGAGCAACCGUGGGAGUCAAAGCAGGAAGACAUCAGAGGAGAAUGAAAGAAGUAAGAAAGGUUUAUGAGAACCAAAAAUGGAAAAUCAUUUCUUUCACAGCAGUGCUCAGACAAGAACGCUACCCACUGAAGUCAACCGGCUAUGCUGUGAACUAAAUGAGCUGAAGCCUCCACUAUUCAAAGUUCUUCAAGAAUGGAAAAGACUCAGGGCGGGGAAAUGAAAAUUAAAGAUUUCUAAACAAAAAGAAAUAAGAACAAAACAACACAAGUUACUUCAAGUUUUCUUAAGAAUCAGAAUAAAUAUAUUUGAGACAAUAAAACUUCUCAGUGCCUUUUUACAGGUGGCAUUCUCCUUGUAGGGGACAGUAGAGUUAUUACCUGAUCAGCAUCUUCCAAAGUUCAGGACCACUGAAACCGUAAUAGAAGAAUGUUGGGAGCUAAUGUCAAAGAAUCAAGACUUUUUGCUAUGCUUGAUUUAAGUCCAAACUUUAAUGUGAUUUUAAGCUAUUGCAUAUCCAAUGAGGAAUUUAACUGUGAUAAUACUGAAAAGAAAUAAUGGAUAAGAAACAAGACAGGCCAAAAUCCACAAAUAUCCUGGGGCCACUCCUGACAUGAUUCUAUGUCAAUAGACUGGUUUUUAGCCAGAGGCUUUUCCGAGCAUUCUAUUUUUCAGUUACAGCUUGCAAACCAUUGGAAAUAAAAUGCAUCAUCUUAAAUUGCAAGAGCGUGUAGAAAAAAAGUAGCAACAGCAUUACAGAAAUAUGAUUUAUAGCUAAAAGGGUGUGAUAUUCUGAUGCCUUUCUCCUUGCUUUUAAAGACUCCUAUAAGGUUCAGCAGGACCUUAACCCUAAAUUAAGUGGCUUCAUAAAACCUCUGAUAGAAAACAGUCUUGGACUGUUAGCAGGAUUUGUGGAUAAUCUUAAGUAAUAAUUAACAAUCAACCACUGGAUUCAAUGACAAAAAAUACUGAACCAUCCCUUCCCCAGAUCCAGCUAUUGAAGUAGACUAUGACUGAACAAUAAAAUAAACAUAUUUCCUGAUCUGCAGCACAGAAAGUAAAAUUCAAAAAUCUGUCUUCAUGGCUACCACAUUCAAUGUGUCAUUUGUGUACUGCACCGUGUCCUGUGGGGAGGGGAUGGUUAGGGCUGAAAUCCAGACUGUACUCCACUUUUCAGGCCCUGCACCCUGGGAUGGGACUGUGUCAGCCAGAAGGAAGAGAGGUCUUCUAAGAAAAAGGCUCCAUGAGUCUGAAAUGCUACAACAGCACAAGACUAAUUGUCACAGAACCGUUGUAUGGACUAGCGGGCCCAGCCUGACUGGCUCAAUAGUGACUCUCUAAAUGACUUAUGGAAAAUCACAACUUUUUCAUUUCCUGUAAAGAAAGCCCUUCGCAUUGUUAAACUACAAAUGUUUGUCAAUCCACACAAAGACUACAGUCCAUCUCCUGCUGAUGGGUAACACUAAGAGUCUUUCUCUCAAAAUAGAAAUAAUAGAAACAAUUGUUACAGAGCAAGGUCCUGGCCUUUCUUUAAUCAAUGGCAUUCACUCUGCCACACUUUCCUCACCUCCAGGUUUAGCCACAGCUGGAUGGAAGCUCUAGAAAACUUUUCACAAGAGAGGAUUAAUCCCAAAGAUCAUUUUCCUUUUAAAUUUAAUUAGUUGUUUGCUGCUUCAGCCAUCACUUGAUGCUAGCCUCUCUGACAUGACAAAAACAAAAUUUGAGAUUUGUUUGUUUGUUUAAGCUAACACUUGCAUAGUACUUAACAUAUGGCAGGCAUGGUUCCAAGUGCUUCCUUUACAAGUUCAGACUUAACUAAAUCUUCAUGAGUUAUUAUUUAUCUCUCACAUUCCUGAAAUUAAAGCACACAGCUAGUAAAAAGCAGAAGCAGAAAUGAAACCAAACAGUCUGGAUCCAGAGUCCAUCAUACCCAGACUGCUUUGCUGUAGGUACUGCCCUACAGUAAAACAGGUACCUCUGAAGAGUAUGUUUGCCAAUAUUCCCAUUUAGUGUAUAAUGCCCUAGGUUACACCCUUUGGCAAAUAAACGGUGUUGUCCUUGAUGCCAGAUAUCAUACCUAAAUUUUUAAAAAUUUACUUUAGAGCAAAAUAAAAUCAAAAGAGCAUAUUAGGAUGUAAUAUUCUCAACUCAAGUAAGACCAGCUAAAAAGGCUUCCAUUGUAUUCAGCAGAAAUCAUAUUUGAGAGCGAAAUGAAAUGUUCACCUUUAGCUCUCCACCUUCUAGGGCCAAGUGACGCAAAAAUUCCAUAUUCCUAACAAUAAUACGAAUUAUCAGGGAAAACAUCAUCUCUUUAACUCUUUUUCGUAAAUUUAGGUUACAAAGCAAAAAAUUUCAAAUCUUGUUUUUUUAAACAAGGGAGGGAGCCUUUUAACCAGGACUUACUCAUGAAAUUUAUGCUUCAGACUAACAAUGACUGUCACUGCAGCUUCAUCAAUAAGAAGAAACUAGAAUACUACUUCUUAGAUAUAUAUUUUCCUAAUGUUUCUAAAUGAAAUUUCCAGGACAAAGGAACCUAAUGAUCAUUGAACUAGUACUUCAGAUGAACUUAUAAUAAUUGUCAAAGGCAAGUCUGUGUGAUAAUAUAUAUAUGUGUGUCUAUAAAUGUGUAUGUUUUAUAUGGUUAUAAUGGGUAUCCUCUAACUUGAAACAUACUGCAAAUUAUAGUCAACUUAGAAUCAACUUUAUGAAGAAUAAUUAGUUAAUUAACUAACUCUGGCUUCCCCAAAAUUCUGAAAGUAGAUUUUAGGCUAAUGGGUAAAAAUCGUAAGUACUAGGUACUUGCUGAGAGCACAUCUGGAAUCACUUUAUCUUGAAACUGUUGUAUAAUGAGGUGCUAACAUAGCCAACUACAGCUUGCCCCCCACUGAAAUGUGUGUGUGUGUCCUGGACUUAACCCUCUUCCAGUAGCGAGCUCAAAUUCCAGAACAGUUUGUCCAAGGAUCAUGUUGGCAGGAAUGUGCUUGUCUUGGAAACCUGUGAACCAAAAUAUGUUCAUCCUUAAGAAAAGCACAUCCUGCAGAUAACGGGGACUGGCCAAUCAGUGUUUUCACAUUACAGAACUGUGGGUUCUCAUUUGCUUAUCCUCUUUCCAAUACCCAGCCCAUAUUCAGCACUGCUUGUGAAACAAAAGGCAAUAAGCAAGAAGUUGUAACAAAUCCUAACAGCAAACAGACCAAGCCUGAGGGAGUUGCAAUCUGGGAAGCAGAGGGUCAAUAUUUCACAAUGGCAUUGAUGAAGCCUGUGAAUUUACCACAGAUUUUAUGGUUGUCAAUUCACAAACUUUCUGGUGAAACAGACUUCUAUAAUAACAGUAAUUAGAUUGACUAAUUUCCAUGACAGGACUUGAGUAGAAUAAAGAGGCAGAAGAUCUGGGUUCUACCUCCAAUCCAGCCACUAACCAGCAAUUCAACCAGCGAUAAGUCAUUUUCCUGUCUGGCCUCAGAUGCAUUCAUCUAUAAAAGAAAAAGAAUUGUCAGAUAAUCUCUAAAAUCCUUUCCAGUUUACAUAUAUUUUAUGACAAAGUUUUUAACCUAACCUCAAAUAUCUGUGUGUAUGCUCAUACACACACACACACACACACACGCGCGCGCGCGCGCACACACACACACACACACACACACACAGAGAGAGAGAGAGAGAGAGAGAAACGAACCCAAACAAUCUAUUGAAGAUUAAACCAGGCAUGAAAAUCCAGAUGCUGCUGUACACUUUCCAGACGAUUUUUUAGGUAUCAUUUCUUCCUCAUACGAGAGUGUAGGGGGCUCACUGAGACAGGUCUUGAGUUCCCAUUACUUGCACCUUUUAGUCUCUCUCAUUUCCUCUCUUCUUAACCACUGUCACACCAAAGGAGGUACAGUAUAGUGCAUAAGUUUGCAAAACUAUAAAGUGAUACCAUUCUUUGAUUCUUCAUUCUUCAAUGCCAUUCUCAACCUUUUGUACAUAGAGAAACAUAGCUAUUUUCACUUUUAAAUGUUAUUUAUAUUAGCAUAUUGUGAGUUGGUUAUUACUUUUAAAUACAUUGACAUCCAACACUUUUUAAGACGGCAAGGGGGUCCUGAGACCAGAAAGUUUGAGAAUUGCUAGUGUAGUAGUUAAGAGGACAAACUCCAGAUCCAGCUGCCUGAGUUAAAAUGUCACUUCUAUCACUGAAGAGUGGUGUGACAUUGAGCACAGUUGCUUAGUCACACAGUUGUUCUGUGCCUCAGUUGGGGAUAAUAACGAUAAUGGUACUGACCCCAUAGGAUCAUCAUAAGGCUUAAAUGAACUGAUAUAUGUACCAUGCUUAGAACUGUUGUGAGCCAUCAUUCUCUUUGGCGCUCUUCACCUAACUCCAUUCCCCUGUGGUUUGCUUGGUUUGGUUUGAUUUGGUCUGGUCUUACUACUGCUGCCUCUCCGUUUGACUGGCAAAAUGUGACCGGCACUGCUUCACCAGGGGCUAAAGGCAUAGCUGCCUAGGCUCCUUCAUAACCAUAGCCACACAUUCCCACUCCUGCACUGCAGCACCCAGCUGUACUUUGAAUUUGUCCUUCACAGAGGCUCCAUCAGCAAAAGACAACUGGAAAAUCAAAGCAAGCAAUGCUAAGUUUUUUAAAAACACGCUAUGUCAGAUGAAUUAGAAUGUAAAGUAGAAACUUUAGCCUUCAGAAUAAAUCAAUGAGAGGAUGGAAGUAGAGAGAAAAUGCAAGCAAUUACAUUCAUUCCUUAAAGGAAAAGGUGGUAUUUGCCCAAGCUCCCUCCAAUUUGAACUAUGUUUUCACAGCCUUCCAUCUCCUUUUUAAAAUUUCUCUUCGACAUCCCAGAGCAGCCUCCUCCCACCUGGCCAAGAACCCUCAGGCCAUCAACUUGCUUAAAAAAAUAUGACGGCCCAGAUUCUGAUCACGUGCACAUGACUGAUGGCCAUUUGCUCUUCCCAGGGAGUACUGAAGUUUUAUGAGCAUUUAUGAUCAUAAUCCCUUGCAUUUAUAUUAGUUUUCUUUCUAAUCUAUAUUUUCACAUAAAUUUUUCUUUAAUUCUUGGCACUCAUCAUGCUGUUAUUCCUAUUUAACAGUUUAAAAAACUGAGGCUCAGAGAAGCUAGCAAACUUGCCCUAAGUCCCAAAACUUUGAAUCAACAGAACUGAAACUGGAGUAUAAAUGAAAUGGGAAAAUUUUUUAACGACUGAAGGACUGGGGGAAAUGCACACAGCAGGCAUGCUGGUGGGAGGCGGAACUAAGCUAUUUUUGUCAGGGGGUUACUUAAGCAAAUCUGCUCUACUGUGGAAAUAACCUCAACUAAUUCCCCCAGAGUUUUACACACGCUCUUUAUUGCCUCUACAGCAUUCUCUAAUUCUAAGACUUAUUUUUAUUUUUUUAUAUACUAAUUCAUUUAUACAAUGGAUACCCUGGUGGUACUGUUCUUAGGAGGAUUUUAAAGAAGGUACACCCAGUAUGUUUUAUAUUUAACCUACGGCUGCUUCUCAAUAGAGUGUUUGUAAGUUGAGAACUGUCUGUAUUGCAUGUGUGAUGUCAUUAAAUAU